rnacentral:rRNA from 1 species
GAUGAACGCUGGCGGCGUGCCUAAUACAUGCAAGUAGAACGCUGAAGGAGGAGCUUGCUCUUCUGGAUGAGUUGCGAACGGGUGAGUAACGCGUAGGUAACCUGCCUGGUAGCGGGGGAUAACUAUUGGAAACGAUAGCUAAUACCGCAUGACAACAGUUAUUGCAUGAUAACUGUUUAAAAGGGGCAACUGCUCCACUACCAGAUGGACCUGCGUUGUAUUAGCUAGUUGGUGAGGUAACGGCUCACCAAGGCGACGAUACAUAGCCGACCUGAGAGGGGGAUCGGCCACACUGGGACUGAGACACGGCCCAGACCCCUACGGGAGGCAGCAGUAGGGAAUCUUCGGCAAUGGACGGAAGUCUGACCGAGCAACGCCGCGUGAGUGAAGAAGGGUUUCGGAUCGUAAAGCUCUGUUGUAAGAGAAGAACGAGUGUGAGAGUGGAAAGUUCACACUGUGACGGUAUCUAACCAGAAAGGGACGGCUAACUACGUG